rnacentral:rRNA from 1 species
UACGGAGGGUGCAAGCGUUAUCCGGAUUCACUGGGUUUAAAGGGUGCGUAGGAGGGCAGGUAAGUCAGUGGUGAAAUCCCCGAGCUUAACUUGGGAACUGCCGUUGAUACUAUCUGUCUUGAAUAUUGUGGAGGUAAGCGGAAUAUGUCAUGUAGCGGUGAAAUGCUUAGAUAUGACAUAGAACACCAAUUGCGUAGGCAGCUUACUACACGAUCAUUGACGCUGAGGCACGAAAGCGUGGGGAGCAAACAG